GGGUGCUUACCUGCAAGUCGAACGGUGAACACGGAGCUUGCUCUGUGGGAUCAGUGGCGAACGGGUGAGUAACACGUGAGCAACCUGCCCCUGACUCUGGGAUAAGCGCUGGAAACGGCGUCUAAUACUGGAUACGAGUAGCGACCGCAUGGUCAGUUACUGGAAAGAUUUAUUGGUUGGGGAUGGGCUCGCGGCCUAUCAGCUUGUUGGUGAGGUAAUGGCUCACCAAGGCGUCGACGGGUAGCCGGCCUGAGAGGGUGACCGGCCACACUGGGACUGAGACACGGCCCAGACUCCUACGGGAGGCAGCAGUGGGGAAUAUUGCACAAUGGGCGCAAGCCUGAUGCAGCAACGCCGCGUGAGGGAUGACGGCCUUCGGGUUGUAAACCUCUUUUAGCAGGGAAGAAGCGAAAGUGACGGUACCUGCAGAAAAAGCGCCGGCUAACUACGUGCCAGCAGCCGCGGUAAUACGUAGGGCGCAAGCGUUAUCCGGAAUUAUUGGGCGUAAAGAGCUCGUAGGCGGUUUGUCGCGUCUGCUGUGAAAUCCGGAGGCUCAACCUCCGGCCUGCAGUGGGUACGGGCAGACUAGAGUGCGGUAGGGGAGAUUGGAAUUCCUGGUGUAGCGGUGAAAUU
rnacentral:rRNA from 1 species